AAAUUCUAGGUAGAAUUAUGAUAAUGACAUUAUCUGCCUAUGUGUCUUGACCAAAUUACGUGCCAGCAGUCGCGGUAAUACGUAGAAGACUAGUGUUAUUCAUGUUUAAUCGGUUUAAAGGGUACCUAGACGGUAAAUCAAGCCUAAAAAGAAAUAAUGGAAGGGACUAAUUUACUAGAGUUACUUAUGAGGGGGCUAUAAUGUACAGCUGGUGUAGAGAUGAAAUUCUGUCAUACCUCUUUUCAAUAGAAAAAAUAAAGGCACAGGUAUAGGCGAAAGCAUCUCCUUAUGUGAUAACUGACGUUGAGGGACGAAGGCUUUGUGUAGCGAACAGGAUUAGAUACCCCAGUAGUCUAAGCAGAAAAUGAUGAAUGUCAUAGAUUAGAUAUAUAAGUUUAUUCUAUAAAUGAAAGUGUAAGCAUUCCACCUCAAGAGUAAUUUGGCAACAUUGGAACUGAAAUCAUUAGACCGUUUCUGAAACCAGUAGUGAAGUAUGUUGUUUAAUUUGAUGAUCCGCAAAAAACCUUACCACAAUUUGAAUAUUUAUAUCU
rnacentral:rRNA from 1 species